rnacentral:rRNA from 1 species
UAGGGAAUCUUCCACAAUGGACGCAAGUCUGAUGGAGCAACGCCGCGUGAGUGAAGAAGGUUUUCGGACCGUAAAGCUCUGUUGUUGGUGAAGAAGGAUAGAGGUAGUAACUGGCCUUUAUUUGACGGUAAUCAACCAGAAAGUCACGGCUAACUACGUGCCAGCAGCCGCGGUAAUACGUAGGUGGCAAGCGUUGUCCGGAUUUAUUGGGCGUAAAGCGAGCGCAGGCGGAAGAAUAAGUCUGAUGUGAAAGCCCUCGGCUUAACCGAGGAAUUGCAUCGGAAACUGUUUUUCUUGAGUGCAGAAGAGGAGAGUAGAACUCCAUGUGUAGCGGUGGAAUGCGUAGAUAUAUGGAAGAAUACCAGUGGCGAAGGCGGCUCUCUGGUCUGCAACUGACGCUGAGGCUCGAAAGCAUGGGUAGCGAACAGGAUUAGAUACCCUGGUAGUCCAUGCCGUAAACGAUGAGUGCUAAGUGUUGGGAGGCUUCCGCCUCUCAGUGCUGCAGCUAACGCACUAAGCACUCCGCCUGGGGGAGUACGACCGCAAGGUUUGAAAC